AGGACACGCUGGCGGCGUGCCUAACACAUGCAAGUCGAACGAAGAAUGUUUUCGGAAUAUUCUUAGUGGCGGACGGGUGAGUAACGCGUGAACAAUCUGCCCCGUACAAAGGGAUAGCCUCGGGAAACCGGGAUUAAAACCAUAUAACACUUAACUGCCGCAUGGUAGUGAAGUCAAAUCGAUUAAGAGGUAUGGGAUGAGUUCGCGUCUGAUUAGCUAGUUGGUGAGGUAAGGGCUCACCAAGGCGACGAUCAGUAGCCGGCCUGAGAGGGUGAACGGCCACACUGGAACUGAGACACGGUCCAGACUCCUACGGGAGGCAGCAGUGGGGAAUAUUGCACAAUGGAGGGAACUCUGAUGCAGCGACGCCGCGUGAGUGAAGAAGGUCUUCGGAUCGUAAAACUCUGUCCUUGGUGAAGAAAAGGACGGUAGCCAAGGAGGAAGCCCCGGCUAACUACGUG
rnacentral:rRNA from 1 species